CCCCACUUUUCAGUCAGAUUUUUGGUACAACCUAUGUGUCUAUGAUGUGACUAACAACAGAGCGUAGAAAAGACCUACCGCAGGCAGUCCUGGUGCUCCCCAAACAUAGCAACCACAGCGUAUGCACUGUGGUUGCUGUGGAAACUCUCUAGCUGAUGCUGCUAUGGCUGGCUAGAGAGUAUAAAAACUGUUCAGAAGAUUG